AUUGAACGCUGGCGGCAUGCUUUACACAUGCAAGUCGAACGGUAACAGGCCGCAAGGUGCUGACGAGUGGCGAACGGGUGAGUAAUGCAUCGGAACGUGCCCAGUCGUGGGGGAUAACGCAGCGAAAGCUGCGCUAAUACCGCAUACGAUCUAUGGAUGAAAGCGGGGGACCGUAAGGCCUCGCGCGAUUGGAGCGGCCGAUGGCAGAUUAGGUAGUGGGGGGGGUAAAGGCUCACCAAGCCAACGAUCUGUAGCUGGUCUGAGAGGACGACCAGCCACACUGGGACGGAGACACGGCCCAGACUCCUACGGGAGGCAGCAGUGGGGAAUUUUGGACAAUGGGCGCAAGCCUGAUCCAGCAAUGCCGCGUGCAGGAAGAAGGCCUUCGGGUUGUAAACUGCUUUUGUACGGAACGAAACGGUCCUGGUUAAUACCCGGGGCUAAUGACGGUACCGUAAGAAUAAGCACCGGCUAACUACGUGCCAGCCGCCGCCGUAACAC
rnacentral:rRNA from 1 species